rnacentral:rRNA from 1 species
UACGUAGGCAGCGAGCGUUGUUCGGAGUUACUGGGCGUAAAGGGUGUGUAGGCGGUUGUUUAAGUUUGGUGUGAAAUCUCCCGGCUCAACUGGGAGGGUGCGCCGAAUACUGAAUGACUUGGAGUGCGGGAGAGGAGAGUGGAAUUCCUGGUGUAGCGGUGAAAUGCGUAGAUAUCAGGAGGAACACCUGUGGCGAAAGCGGCUCACUGGACCACAACUGACGCUGAGGCGCGAAAGCUAGGGGAGCAAACAGG